GUAGGUGGCAAGCGUUGUCCGGAAUUAUUGGGCGUAAAGCGCGCGCAGGCGGUUCUUUAAGUCUGAUGUGAAAGCCCACGGCUCAACCGUGGAGGGUCAUUGGAAACUGGAGAACUUGAGUACAGACGAGGAAAGCGGAAUUCCACGUGUAGCGGUGAAAUGCGUAGAGAUGUGGAGGAACACCAGUGGCGAAGGCGGCUUUCUGGUCUGUAACUGACGCUGAGGCGCGAAAGCGUGGGGGAGCAAACAGGAUUAGAUACCCUGGUAGUCCACGCCGUAAACGAUGAGUGCUAAGUGUUAGGGGGUUUCCGCCCCUUAGUGCUGCAGCUAACGCAUUAAGCACUCCGCCUGGGAGUACGACCGCAAGGUUG
rnacentral:rRNA from 1 species